rnacentral:rRNA from 1 species
GAUGCUAUUUCUAGAGAUAGAAAGUUACUUCGGUACAUCGGUGACAGGUGGUGCAUGGUUGUCGUCAGCUCGUGUCGUGAGAUGUUGGGUUAAGUCCCGCAACGAGCGCAACCCCUAUUGUUAGUUGCCAUCAUUCAGUUGGGCACUCUAGCGAGACUGCCGGUAAUAAACCGGAGGAAGGUGGGGAUGACGUCAAAUCAUCAUGCCCCUUAUGACCUGGGCUACACACGUGCUACAAUGGUUGGUACAACGAGUUGCGAGUCGGUGACGGCGAGCUAAUCUCUUAAAGCCAAUCUCAGUUCGGAUUGUAGGCUGCAACUCGCCUACAUGAAGUCGGAAUCGCUAGUAAUCGCGGAUCAGCACGCCGCGGUGAAUACGUUCCCGGGCCUU